rnacentral:rRNA from 1 species
GUCGAGGGGUAUAGUUCUUCGGAGCUAGAGACCGGCGCACGGGUGCGUAACGCGUAUGCAAUCUACCUUUCACAGAGGGAUAGCCCAGAGAAAUUUGGAUUAAUACCUCAUAGUAUAGCAGUUUCGCAUGAAACCACUAUUAAAGUCACAACGGUGAAAGAUGAGCAUGCGUCCCAUUAGCUAGUUGGUAAGGUAACGGCUUACCAAGGCUACGAUGGGUAGGGGUCCUGAGAGGGAGAUCCCCCACACUGGUACUGAGACACGGACCAGACUCCUACGGGAGGCAGCAGUGAGGAAUAUCGGUCAAUGGACGCAAGUCUGAACCAGCCAUGCCGCGUGCAGGAUGACGGUCCUAUGGAUUGUAAACUGCUUUUGCACAGGAAGAAACAACGCUACGUGUAGCGUCUUGACGGUACUGUGAGAAUAAGGAUCGGCUAACUCCGUGCCAGCAGCCGCGGUAAUACGGAGGAUCCAAGCGUUAUCCGGAAUCAUUGGGUUUAAAGGGUCCGUAGGCGGUUUAGUAAGUCGGUGGUGAAAGCCCAUCGCUCAACGGUGGAACGGCCAUUGAUACUGCUAGACUUGAAUUAUUAGGAAGUAACUAGAAUAUGUAGUGUAGCGGUGAAAUGCUUAGAGAUUACAUGGAAUACCAAUUGCGAAGGCAGGUUACUACUAAUGGAUUGACGCUGAUGGACGAAAGCGUGGGUAGCGAACAGGAUUAGAUACCCUGGUAGUCCACGCCGUAAACGAUGGAUACUAGCUGUUGGAAGCAAUUUCAGUGGCUAAGCGAAAGUGAUAAGUAUCCCACCUGGGGAGUACGUUCGCA